rnacentral:rRNA from 1 species
UUGAACGCUGGCGACAUGCCUUACACAUGCAAGUCGAACGGUAGAGGGGCAACCCUUGAGAGUGGCGAACGGGUGAGUAAUGCAUCGGAACGUGCCCAGUCGUGGGGGAUAACGCAGCGAAAGCUGUGCUAAUACCGCAUGUGAUCUGUGGAUGAAAGCAGGGGACCGCAAGGCCUUGUGCGAUUGGAGCGGCCGAUGUCAGAUUAGCUAGUUGGUAGGGUAAAAGCCUACCAAGGCGACGAUCUGUAGCUG